UUUCCGUAGGUGAACCUGCGGAAGGAUCAUUACCACUGCUGUGCCGCUGCGGCACAGAAACACUAUACCAACCAUGUGUGGAACCUGCAAACGAUCUUGUGGUCUAGCGGAGCGGGGAAGCGAUUUCCUGCUUGGCAGACCGACGUUUUUUUAUACAACGCACUUCUUCUGCAACCACAGAGUUAAAGCCAGAUUUUGUUGUCAGUUGUUUUGUGAAGGGAAAACGAACUGAACGAGAAAUAACGAGAAAAAAACUUUUAACGGUGGAUCUCUUGGCUCGU
rnacentral:misc_RNA from 1 species